GUAGCGUACAUUACAUGGCAGUUUACUCAAACGUCUUCAAAUGCAGUUGACAGUCACAUCAAAUCGUGGUAGAGAUUCCGUUAAUUCUAGCCAGACAGCACGCGUCAUUAAACUAUACAUAUUGCAGAAAAGACGAACUUCAACCUCCAGGUCGCCGCUACGUUGACAAAAAACAAGCCAAUAACAAACGCCGCCGAGCGCCGGCUCAUAUCUGCCCCUCUCCGCACGCUGCAGCGAAAACCUUCCGUCAACUGCAGCAGAGAAUUGCAACCGUAGCUUGCCACAAUAUUCCAAAAUAUUGUUAUUGUUUUUUAAUCGAGGAUCAAGAAAAGUGACUGGCUCGUUUCUCUUGAAUUCAGGUGCAUGAAUGGAAUUGCUUGUGAGGCGCUGGCAUCUCGCCCCGGUGCUGGCACUGCUGCUGGUGCAAUGUGAGUUCAGCUCUGUCCACAGAUGUGUCUGACUGAAGGAAGGGCGUGGCCAUGCGUCUGUUUGACGGUUGAAUUUCCAAGCAAGCGGCCGCUCAGCGUGGCAUUGAGCCGGACCCUGGUUCUGAGGGCGACGAUCAAAAAGACACCAGAGGAGAGGGUGCUGGAUCCAGAGUGGAGCAUGGUGGAAGGUCAGACUGGGUCAAAGUUCAGAGUUUACCCCCCCGCCCGGAAUGCCCGUAUGUCCAUCGAACAGGACGGACUAACACUGAGGGUGCUUAAUCUCACCAAGGAGGACUUCGGAAAUUACACCAUAACCGUCACGGACGGCGAUGGACAUCAGACGUCCGCCCGUCGAACCGUGACAGAGAGCGAAGUCGCACCCAGAGUGUCAAUCCCUCUUCUCUGUGAGGUAUCCCAUGAUUCUGAGCAGUGGGACAUUCCCAAGUUUGUGUGGCUGGCGGACGGGGUUGAAGUGCCAAGCUCGGCCCAAAAUCUCUCGGCCGACGGCAGUAAGCUGUAUCCAUUUGAGACCUGCGUGCGCAAUUACACGUGCACCGUAAGCAGCAGUUUGGGGACCAGCUCAAACCACUUCUACAACACAAGCUGUGAUACAAAUCCGGACAAACCGGAGACCGGAGGCCAUGAUUGUACCACACCGUGGGUGCUGUUUUCUUUUGCCAUCCUGGUAUCAGUCGCUGUGUGCUUUUACUGCAUUUGGAGAGAACGGAAACGCAGGAAUCCCAGAGGAGGAUGAUGCCUGACGACACUGGGCUUCGCUUGAAACUAUUCAGGAAUUCCAUCUGAUGUCUGAGCGGGUGUCUCUGAGCAGAUGUCUGACUAGAGCUCUCGGUUUCUGUUGCGGACUUCUCUUCACGGACACCAUUCUUGCAGCAAUGUGUAGAGCUCACCAUUUACCGGGAGUUCAGCUUCCUUGCUUUUUGGGGGAAUAUGUCUCCAGUUUUGUUCUGAUUCUCUGUUUUUUAAAAAAACUCAUAUUAAUUAUUUUCUAUUAAUUUAUUAAAUACAGGUUUGUUUGUGUAAAACGCUGCAUGUAUGUAUCAGAGAGCCAGCUGCUGUGUUUGUUUGAAAUAGCCAUACUGAUUAGAGCCCUACCGAUAUAUCGGUUUGGCCGAUAUAUCGGCCAUUAUUUGACUUUUUUGACGACGUCGGGAUCACUUACGCAGCCGAUGUGUCCCGAUUUUUAAAUAAGUAUAAUAAACAAAAAAAAAAACAUUGAUUAUUUAUCUGUACUUGUCUGUUCGAACGUUGUAAUUGCUAUUUACUAGAAUUAUCCAGUAGAGGGAGCUCUAAUACAAGUGUGAACUGCAGUAGCUGCCGCGCUACUUCUGUAAUAAGACGUUUGUUACUCGUGCCUCAUCCAAUAUUCUCCACUGCAAGACUUGUCUGCACAGAUUCAAUUGCCGCAAUAAAGGUAUGUAUAUUUAGUGAAAGUUUUUAAUUAAAUGCGUUUAUACUACCACUAUGUUUAUCAAUCCUCAUUAUCAAGCGAGCGAGCUAGCUAGCUAACAUAUUUGGUUCACUUUAGCAAGCUAGCUUUAGGAAGUGGUAGUGAGCACAUAAGCAGCGUAGGAUCUACAUUUACUUUAUGAAGCGGUAGUGAGCACAUAAGCAGCGUAGGAUCUACAUUUCCAGAGGACAUCGCUGUAGGCUGUUCUCAAAUAAAUAACCAGCCAAAAUAAAAUGGUGAUUGAAUGCAUCACGCAUUUGUUUUUUUAUCUGAGAUAAUGAUAUUAGCUACUAUAUGAUGCUGUGUCAAUAGCCAACAAUUAUUGCAAGCGAGUGUGUCAUCUAGUCACGCGUCAUCGUAUUAAGCUAACCAGAUAGUAAAAACGCAGAUAAAACACUUCUAACGUGGAUCAUUUUAAGCCAUGUUAUCUAGCUUUGUCGUGAUAACACGAGAGAAGGAUUGCUGUUGGAGAAGUGAAUCAACCAACACUUAGCGCGGGUAAUCUGCACGAAAGUGCAUUGUAGUUUUUUUCACCACCGAAUUCUUAUGGACAAGCCUCACGUUACAUAUUUUAUCCAGUCAAUUUAGUUUCAUCUAACGUUACACUUGAUUCACUCAUUAGCUCCGCUAGAUAAAGUCUUACUCUUUUUCAUGUAGUAGGAAUAAAAUAAUAAAAUAUAAUUAAUUUAACUUACUGAGAAUAAAUAAUAAGAAAUAAUGAGGCUACGUCAACAGCUAAUGCGUUAUUGCAGUGAGUGUGUGUCAUCUAGUCACGCGUCAGAGCGCAUUGUAGUUUUUUUCACUACCGAAUUCUUAUGGACAGGGAAGCUCGCUAGAUAAAGUCUUACUCUUUGAGAUCAUGUAGUAGGAAUAAAAUAAGAAAAUUUAAUUCAUUUACUGAGAGUAGAUACUAAGAAAUAAUAACAAAUGAAUAACAACAACAAUAAUAAUAUUCAUAAAAAUACAUGUUUGAAACUGGAAAACAGAUUUUUUCGUAGAUGGCUGGAAAAGAAAGGAGUAAAAGCAACAUGUGGAGUUGUUUUGAAUUCACACCACUUGAAGAUAGUGUUAAUAUAUAUAAUUAAUUUAAUAUCAUCUUUUACAUUUUUUUAUCUAUCAAAAAGUUCUUUGUGUGUUUAUUUUUAUUUAUUUGUUUGCUUAUAAGUUAAAAGUUCUAAAAUAUAAGUGUUUAAAAUUGAUUUGAAAAUGUUGCACUUUUUGACAAAAUAUCGGUCAAAACAUUGGUAAUCGGUGGGCUAGGACUCUCAAAAAUCGGGAUCGGCAUCGGACCCAAAAAUCUGGCAUCGGUCGGGCUCUAAUACUGAUGUACUGUGAAUGCUCUCCACGAUACGUGUAAUAGAGUGCCUUAUCACUGCGGUCUUUCUAAACUAAACAGGGAUUAUUUUCUCAACAAUUCAGACUAUAUUUGUUUCCUUGACAUAAGACUAUGUCAGUUAGUGAUCUUGGCCUUGCACCUCUACAUCAUGAACCUAUGCACUUGUUGUACGUCGCUCUGGAUAAGAGCAUCUGCUAAAUGCCUAUAAUGUAAUGUAAUGUAAUGGCCUGUUACUCAAAUGGUUGUGAGUUCAAAUCCCAAAUAGGGGGCUGCUGCUGUAUCUUAAGCAAUGUUCUUGGCCUAAUUUGUUUGUAUAAACAUCCAGCUGUGUUAAGGGACUGUAUGUAGAACACUGGAUCUGUAUUCUAGAUAGGAGCAUUCGUUAACAAAUAAAUGUAAUGUUAUUUAAUUGA